rnacentral:rRNA from 1 species
UACGUAGGGGGCAAGCGUUGUCCGGAAUCAUUGGGCGUAAAGGGCGCGUAGGUGGUUCUGUAUGUCUACCGUGAAAGCAUACAGCUCAACUGUAUUUUGUCGGUAGAAACUGCAGGACUUGAGGCUGGGAGGGGCUGGUGGAAUUCCCUGUGUAGCGGUGAAAUGCGUAGAGAUGGGGGAGAACACUCGUGGCGAAGGCGGCCAGCUAGACCAGAUCUGACACUGAGGCGCGACAGCGUGGGGAGCAAACAGG